GACAGAGGUCCCAAGCGUUGUUCGGAUUCAUUGGGCGUAAAGGGUGCGUAGGCGGCGCGGUAAGUCGGGUGUGAAAUCUCGGGGCUUAACUCCGAAACUGCAUUCGAUACUGCCGUGCUUGAGGACUGGAGAGGAGACUGGAAUUUACGGUGUAGCGGUGAAAUGCGUAGAUAUCGUAAGGAAGACCAGUGGCGAAGGCGGGUCUCUGGACAGUUCCUGACGCUGAGGCACGAAGGUCAGGGGAGCAAACGGG
rnacentral:rRNA from 1 species